AGAAAAUGUCCGCCGGCUUCCGUGGAAGGUUGUCUGAAAUGACAGACACAUAGCUGAACAAUGGGACCGCAAGCUUGCGACACUUAGAGCAGAAAUACAUCUUGCUAUUGGAGGAACACUGACCCCCAGCAAAGCAGCUUUCGGGUUACAUCCAGUUCAGAAGAAUGAGCUAGAACCUUUCUUCCCCUGGCCACACCGAUGUUCACAGAAAUACAGAGCAGUGAGACAACAAUCGGACAAUGUUUUCGGUGGUGGUGUUCCAGUAUAGGAGAGACUGGGGAUGGUUGUAUGGUUGUAACAGCAUCACUUUUACCAAUAAGGGAUGACCUCAGAAUUAUGUGAUCAGUAUCAUGUAUGACAACUUCCUUCCUGACUCUGCAUGUUUAAUUGCAGGGCUGUGUGGAAAACUGUGCAGAUUUCACAGUCAAAACACUGAUUUUCAGGAAAGAAAACAAAUUUUAGACCAAGUCUGUACUGCUGAAGUUGAAAUAAGUUAACUUUAAUAUGUGUCUCUUUAAGAAAUUACAAAACCUCAGUGGACCAGGUCCAAGACAGCUGCGUGUGGGAUAUUACAGAGGUCUAAAAGUAUUCAGUGUGUGGAGGAUAUGUUGACUGCUUACAGAUUUGUAUUUUUGGACUUACUCCACAUGAGUCAGGCCUACUAAGCAUCUGACAGGUGCAGAUUAGCGUGUUUAGACUUAAGUCUAGGAAUUUUGUUUUUAGUGUAUCAGUUCUUUCAUAUGUGUGUUGUGUUGCUAUGCACAGGAAGGCGUGCCUGUGAAUAAACUUUUCAUUGUUUCUGUACACCUGUGUCAGGAUCGUAUGACAAAGUAACUAUGUGAUUGUAUUUAUCUACUACUACAAGAUGUUGAAGUGAUGGCAUAUGCACAACAAACUGAUAUAGAUGCUAUUUUUAAAUCUUCGCUCUUGUUACAACUUACCCCAGUAGUGGGGCAGGUUCUAACAAUGAUUUGUGUAAACGUUUGAGAGCUCUAACAAAUAUUCUGUGAGUUAUAGGUACCAAAACAAAAAGUGUUACAACCAUCCGCGGUGUGUCUACUUGUAUACUUAAAAAAACAGCCGUGCAAAGCAAAGAGGAGCUGGUUACUGCUGAACACUGAAGAGGGAUGUCCCUGAGGCCAAAUAUAGGCGAAAGGUUUGCACUUAUUUUACGUGUAUUAUUCAUGAAUUAUAUAUUCAUUUUUGAAUUAUUUAUGAAUAGGUCAUGCAUAUUUAUUACAACACUUAACUGCUGUUACUUAAAACCGUGCCUGAUGGAAACAUUAUAAAUACAGAUUUGAAUUUUUUUUUCUAGAUUAUUUAUUACCUUUACUGAAGUCAUAAUUUAAAUGACUACUUUUACUUCUACUUGAGUAGUAAUUAUUUUAAAGUAACAAUUCUUUGUCCGAAGUAUUGAUUUGACUACACACGUCUGAUGUGAACUUUAUGGACUGCGGGAGUGCCCGGUGUUUCGAACCUCUAAUUUCACCUCAAAUUUCUUUAUUUCAGUGAAGCAAACGCAAUUAAUGUUUUCAUGAUCUGAGACAAUCUUAUACGCCUCUUAGCAGUCACAACACACACACACACACACACGCACGCACGCACGCACGCACACACACAAACAAACAAACAAACAACGUAAAUAAAUGCUAAGUUACUUUAGCAUGUACAAAUAUUAGAAGUGUUUUAGCUAUCUAGUUAUUUCUGAAGGAAGCCCGGUUUAACAUCGAGUACAUGCAUUCUUUACAUCACUAGAAAGGUCGGCCGGUCCAGACCCAAGCGGGCCCGUGGUUGGCGCA